rnacentral:misc_RNA from 1 species
GAUGAAGAACGCAGCGAAAUGCGAUACGUAAUGUGAAUUGCAGAAUUCAGUGAAUCAUCGAGUCUUUGAACGCACAUUGCGCCCCCUGGUAUUCCGGGGGGCAUGCCUGUCCGAGCGUCAUUGCUGCCCUCAAGCACGGCUUGUGUGUUGGGCCUCCGUCCUCCUCCCGGGGGACGGGCCCGAAAGGCAGCGGCGGCACCGCGUCCGGUCCUCGAGCGUAUGGGGCUUCGUCACCCGCUCUUGUAGGCCCGGCCGGCGCUUGCCGACACAUCAAUCUUUUUUCCAGGUUGACCUCGGAUCAGGUAGGGAUACCCGCUGAACUUAAGCAUAUCAAUAAGCGGAGGC